rnacentral:tRNA from 1 species
GUCCCGGUAGUCUAAUGGAUAGGGCUGCAGAUUCCGGUUCUGCCAGUACGGGUUCGAUUCCUGUCCGGGACACCA